UACGAAGGGGGCUAGCGUUGCUCGGAAUCACUGGGCGUAAAGAGCACGUAGGCGGCUUCUUAAGUCAGGGGUGAAAUCCUGGAGCUCAACUCCAGAACUGCCUUUGAUACUGAGGAGCUUGAGUCCGGGAGAGGUGAGUGGAACUGCGAGUGUAGAGGUGAAAUUCGUAGAUAUUCGCAAGAACACCAGUGGCGAAGGCGGCUCACUGGCCCGGUACUGACGCUGAGGUGCGAAAGCGUGGGGAGCAAACAGG
rnacentral:rRNA from 1 species